AGUAAAAUUUUUGUUGAAGUUCAUUUCUAUUAACCCCAAUUUUUAAAGUCAGUAGUUUUGUUAUUUUAUUUUAAAUUAUUUUGUAUAUAAUUUCAAAUAAAAUAAUUAGGUGUAUCUGCAAAACCUAGAAUCGAAAUCUAAAACAAACUAUUUUGUAAUGUCAAAGAAAUUCUCUUAAAGUAGAAUGAUUGAGUACAUCACCUGUUUUGACGUAAUGUAAUGUGCCAAUGACGUAAAUUCCUCACUUUGGUAGCCCUACACCAUUUUUAUUCGUCAUUCAAAGUAUCUGUAAUUUAUACCGUAAACAAUGAAACUGGUGGCAAAAUCGACAACAACGUAACAGGACCGGGGAAGGAAUGCCAGAAUGCCACUUGGAAAAUCUGCAGGAGCAGUCUCUUUUUACAUCAUUUAAAAAUUAUAGUCUAAAACAUAAAGUGAGCUACUAAAUAAAUUCCACAAGGGAUGAGCUUAUGGUUGUGGUGUAGAUGAAAUAUUUUUUAGUCCAGAUAUUUUAUUUUGUCGUAUUAGUUUUUCUUAAAUAUAAAUUUUUUAACGAUAA